rnacentral:rRNA from 1 species
AACGAACGCUGGCGGCAUGCCUAACACAUGCAAGUCGAACGAGACCUUCGGGUCUAGUGGCGCACGGGUGCGUAACGCGUGGGAACCUGCCCUUAGGUUCGGAAUAACUCCCCGAAAGGGGUGCUAAUACCGGAUAAUCUCUUCGGACCAAGGAUUUAUCGCCUUUGGAUGGGCCCGCGUUGGAUUAGCUAGUUGGUAGGGUAAAAGCCUACCAAGGCGACGAUCCAUAGCUGGUCGGAGAGGAUGAUCAGCCAGACUGGGACUGAGACACGGCCCAGACUCCUACGGGAGGCAGCAGUGGGGAAUAAUGGACAAGGGGCGAAAGCCUGAUCCAGCAAUGCCGCGUGAGUGAUGAAGGCCUUAGGGUUGUAAAGCUCUUUUACCCGGGAUGAUAAUGACAGUACCGGGAGAAUAAGCUCCGGCAAACUCCGU